GGCUCCCCAUCUCGCUGACAGUUUCGAAACCCUAACUUCUCCAUGAAUUCUUAGCUCCGAAGCUUCAAAUUCAGCGAUGGAGGGUGAUUAUUCAAUCCCAGACCACAAGCUAUGUGGUUUCUUUCUUACAGCCGUUGAAAUUUCGUCUCCGCCGCACUCCUCCGAGCUCCAUAGCACCCUCCCUUUAAAUUCACAGUGCUACAUCGCCGGAGACGGUUCUAAUAUCCACUUUGUAACGGAUAACGACGUUGAAUUGUGUCCCAUUGGUUCUCAUACGGAAGAGGACCGGAAUGAUGUUGUUCCGAUGAAGAAGCGGAGCAGAAUUGGAAUGGUGAAUGGUAGUAUAAGCGUGGUGCAUCAGUUGCACAAACUUGUAAUGCAAAAAUGCUUGAAGAUUGUUGCUAGGGUUCUUGAGGUUGUGGAGCGUGGCCAUGAUGAAGAAGUUAGGGCUGUUGUUCUUGUGGAUGUGUACUUGCCUUUAGCUUUGUGGUCCGGUUGGCAGUUCCCCAAGUCUGGCCCUGUUGCUGCAGCACUUUUCCGGCAUAUCAGUUGUGACUGGGAUGCUUGGAGUUCUAUGCUUCAGUCUGCUAAACUUGGUGUUGAAAAGGAUUUUAGUAUUUGGAAUCUGUCCGACUGUCAUGUUCUAGGAUGCAAACUGCAUUGCAGUGCAUCUGACCCUUCCAAGAAAAAGCUCUUUGAGCUCCAUGAAAUUUUUAAGAGCUUACCUAGUGUAGAGAAGAGGGGAAAUCCUGAUUCUUUAAGAGUGAAUCCCCUUGAUACUAGUAGAUCGGGUAUCUGGGUGAUAACAGAUGACAUUUUGAUCAGUAUUCUUUCUUCACUUUGUCCUGCUGAUCUACUCAGGGUUUCUGCAACAUGUCGACAUUUAAAAUUUC
rnacentral:misc_RNA from 1 species